CCUGUUUCACCAUGUACAAAAAUGGAGGAUGCUGUGCCACACACGAGUGCUAUGAAGUGAAUCUACUUUUACCCAUCAUAGCAAAGAGCCAGAUUUUCCAAACGUAAAGAUUAUCAAAGCACCUUUAAAAAGAGCCAGAUUUCCUGCCUCACCUUGCUCUGUUCAUCUCUCUUCCAUCCAUUCUUUGAGGCACAAGAAGGCAUCCAACAUACUUUGACACAUGCAACUGCACAAGUUACCCAGCGAAACGGAUGGGAAAGGUUGUGUGUCUUAACUCGUUUCUACUGGGCGUCUCCCAAGGGUAAUUUGCACUAUCACAGAUCCUCAUAGGAGGCGAGAGGCUUCAUACCAGCUAUGAACUGUCUGCCCAGAGGAGUUUGCCAUCUAUUGUCUCCUCUAUGAAAUCCUAUGAAAUAUGAACUUUCAUUUCUACCCAGGAGAACUUUUACAAUCUUUUCUCCAAUGCCUG